rnacentral:misc_RNA from 2 species
AACGCAUAUUGCGCUCUCUGGUAUUCCGGAGAGCAUGCUUGUUUGAGUAUCAGUAACCACCUCACAUUCUUUUUUUCUUGUAAAAAAAGGAUUGGACUUGAGCGAUCCCAACGCGUCUGAAUUCAUUCGGGCGCGGCGGGUUGCUUGAAAUGCAGGUGCAGCUGGAUUUUUAUUCUGAGCUAAAAGCAUAUUUAUUUAGUCCCGUCAAAAGGAUUAUUACUUUUUGCUGCAGCUAAUAUAAAGGAACAUUAAUCCUCAUGCUGACUGAUGCAGGAAUUUUCUUGUCGAUGUUUCUUUUAACUUGUUAAGAGAAAAAUCAGCAAGAAAACAAAACUCGAUCUCAAAUCAAGCAAGAUUACCCGCUGAACUUAA